UCCUUCUUAGCUCAGUUGGUAGAGCGCGUCACUUGUAAUGACGAGGUCAGUCGUUCAAGUCGGCUAGGGGGAA